GGAGAAGUUCCUGAUUUUAAAAUUUCUGAAGGGAGCUGCUGACAGAGAUAUAGAAAACACAGAUUGUUUAUGUUGCUAGAUUCUUCCAUGCUGAUGGCCGUGCACUAGAGUUGGAGCGUAUCUCCUGUCGAAGAAAAUAUCUAGACAUUAUGAACCAUAUGACUAAGUUUAGCUCCAACCCCAAUUAAGCAGACCUGAGCAGCUGAUCAAGGAUCACCAGAAACUUUGCAGAACGUUGGUCCUCCAUGCCCAGGACUGGACACCAGUGUUCUAAAUAAAACCAAAGGCCAUUCAGCCACAGGUCACUGCAUCUUUUGCUGUGUAAGUUCAUUUUUUUGAAUGUCAAACACGUUCUCAGUAUUUAUAUUUGGUUUGGUUUUUACAACCGUUUUAGAGUCACCGAUCCUAAAGUGACGUGACAU